AGAUGUAAACAUAAUUUCUCCAGUCUUGAAAAUAUAUCAAGUAUGGAGUCGGGAGUAUGCCGAUUGCCGAGUAUUGAGUAUGGAGAUGGAGUGACGACUGACGAACACUGACGAUUGAGAAGUCUAAACUUAUCGUCUACCUCUACCAGUUACUGGACUUUGGAGUGUCAGUCGUUCAACCAACUACUGCUGCAAAGUAAUAUAGCGAUAAUUACUGUGUUUGGUGUUUUUGACCACAGAGCCGUUUUAAUGUUCUCGUGUGUGUUUGUCUAAAUUACUUAAGGUUAUUUUGUAUUGAAUUAAUUUGAAAUAAAUUGAAACAACUUUUUGGAUAGACUGAUGGUCCAACUUCGAUCGUGCUAUUGGAGUUAGAGUAUUAUAAUAUACUGUUAAGUAUUAACCAAUAUGGAGGAAGAGAAGAUUGCUGCUGAUGCUUCUGAUAAGCGUAAAGUUGAGGAUGACAAUAUAAACCCUAAGCCUAAUCCUAAACGAAUCAAACUUGUUCGACCUGUAUUUUCACCCGUUGCCAAGCCUUCAAUCUCCACAACCUCAGAAGUCAAUAAAUCUGAUGUUCCACCUACAGAUAUACCUAAAUCCAAUAUACAACCAACAGAAACACCUAAAUCUACUGCACAAGCAACAGAAGUACCUAAAACCACUGUACAACAAUCAGAAAUACAUACAAUUAAUCUAAAACCAACUGAACUACCUAAGUUUAACAAUAAUUCUGGCUCGAAAGUUUCAACUACGGCUGAUGUUUCACUAUCUACUGAAAAACUAGUCGAUCGACUAGAAAUAGUAAAAUCAAAUAUCAGUUCAUCAGAGACUAUUAAAAAACCUGUAGUGACAACUCUUCAAGUUUCUGAUGAACAAGUUGAUAGCAGUUCUGAUGCUUUAGAUAUAAAAAAUAUAUUUAGUGAAGAAACAAAAAAAGAAUUGGAACAUUUAAAAAAAAAUAUUUUCAAGAUUGAUGAUGAUGGGUCAUCCUCAGAAAACGAUAGUCAACCAAAGCGCCCUCGAUUGAAACGACCAACUUUUGUUACAUCAACUGUUGAAGUUAAAAUUGAACCUACUGAUUCAAAGAUAAAUGAUAAAAUAAAUGAAACAUCUAGGUUGGAGCCACUAAAAUCUGUUUGUGAAGAAAAUAUUAACAUAACUGUGAAAAAAUCCAGCGAAAAUCUAUCAAGUGUUGAAGAAAAUAUUGAUCAAAUAACAGAAAAUAUUACUGAGGAUGUAAGGUUAAAACAGGUAGAACAAGUCAAUAUAACUGAAAAUAUUAUAAAAGUUGAAGAAGAAAAAUCUACUGCAUUCAAAUCUGUUGUUAAACUAGUUGAAAACAAAACCGGUGUACCAAAAAGUGUUGAAAAAAGUACUGAAGUGGAUAAUUUGCGUGAUGUUGAUAAAAUAAAAUCUAUACAAACUGCUACUAAUAUACAAAAAAAUACUGAUGUAAAAGAAACUAUAUUAGCUGAGAAAAAAACUAUUGACAAAAAAAAGGUUAAUUUAACAGCGGAAGAACAAAAAUGUAUAAAAAAAGAAAAACCGUCUGAAGAAAAUGCCCUUAGCAAAGGUUCUUAUGAAAAAGAUAUAGAUUAUAAUGCUAUAAAAGAAAGUGCUAAUGACCACUAUAGAGUGAUUUUAGAAAGAUUAGUUGUUGACAAACAAUCUAACUUUAUAAUACAAGAUAAAAACCCCAGUCCAAUAGUUGUGAAACUUGAAGAUGACAAAUCCAUAGUUGAAUCCAGUUAUGAAUGUACUGAUAAAUAUAAUAUAAUAAAAAAUAAAAUUGAUAUUCAUGAUGAAAUAAAAAAUGAAUUAUUUGAUUCGCAAUUACAUAAUACUCAGAAAGAUAAUGAUGUUACUUAUUUAGAAAGUAAAAAUCUAAAUUCUAAAAAAAAUACAUAUGUUGAAAAUGAAAAUAAGCUUCCUAAUACAUUAUCAAAGGAAGUACCAGCUAAUGAUAUAAGACAGAAAAAUGAAGAAACAGACUCUCAAAUGUUUAAGUCUGAUAUUUUAAAAGCAGCUCUUAUGUCAAAAAAAUCCCCUGAAUCGCUCGGGAAUUCAUCUGAAGUAUGUGAUCAAUCUUCUGUUAUUGAAUAUUCAACUAUGGUAGAAUCUAAACAAAAUGAAAAUUUACCAACAAUUGGUGAAGACUCUAUUGUUAAUAAAAUAGAAGCAGAAAUAAAACUUGCUAUUAAAGAUCAACCAGCUAAAAUUAAAAAACCACAAAAUAAGAUUGUUAGUAAUAUACCAGAAAUGUCUAAAGAAGCAUGUAGCUCUAUUUGUCUUAAUGAAAAUGCAACAGUUGGUAAACAUGACGAGCCUCCAAAAUGGGGUUCAGCUAAAAUGAAUGAAGUAGAAAAAUUUUUAAAUGAUUCCAAUGUUACCAUUACUCCUAUUUGCAAGUCUCAAGAAUCACCCAAACUUGGUAAAAUAACUUUAAAGUUACCUAAAGUUGGAAAUCCUGAAAUUAAAUCUGAAACUACAGUUCGUCCAGAUGUUAAAUCUGAAUUAAUAAAAAAAAUUACAAAUAAACAUAUUGCUAUGGGAGAUAGCCCUUUAAAAAAUGCUCUUUCUCAACCUUCUAAAUCUUUUACCGAAUUUGCUACUAUUCGCCCUGCACCUAAACUGAGUGCGGAACAAAUUGCUCUUUUAGAGCAACAGAUUUUAAAUACCCCCAAAAAAAGAGGUAGACCAUCAAAAGCUUUAGCUCAACAAAAGCAAUUAUUGUUAGAAUAUCAACAACAACAACAGUCAAAAGUUCAAGAAGGCAGUACUGAAGAUGAACCUGUUUUUCAUGUUCCAUUAUUUGAUAUGGAAGAUAUGAGUGGAGGGGCAGGAAUGUUUGAUUCAUUUGAAGCAUCAACACCAAAGCGAGGAAAGAGUAUCAGAGGGAAAGGUAGUCGAGGGCGAAGAGGACGAGGAGGUCGUGGUGGUCGUGGCCGCGAUGGAUCAGAUAGUGAUACAGCAUCAAAUAGUCGACGUGUAGAUGAUGAAGGAGAAACUUUUCAUGAAGAAAUGAAUCAAGAAGAAGAAACCAAACAAGUAGCAAUGAUAGAAGCUGAGCGACUCCGAAAAGAAGAAGAACGGGAAAGAAAAUUAGAGGCAAGGAAAAAAAAAAUAAAACUCCGCAAUGAUAUUUUAAAAGAAAAAAAAAUGAAAAAGAAACAAAGAGCAGAAGAAAGAAGAUUGCAAUGGCAUGAGAAGAAAAGGCUUAUGCAAGAAGAAAAAGCUCGUGCAGCUGAGAUGAAGAAAUCUCUUCCACCACCUCAAAAUUUUGAUGAUGAAACUCGUAUGAGUGCUGAUUGUAAUAAUAGUCUUUCCCAAACAACUGCUAGGAAUUUCAUUUUAGGUGAAGAAGAUUUGUCUAUUAGUGGUACUACAAAUGAUAGUAUUAGAAUGAAGAAAGGGAGAAUGGAAGUCAUUGAUCUCGAAAGUAAUAAAACAUUAACUGUUGAUCAAAUUGCUGAGUACCAAUGGCCAUUGGAUGGUGGAGAGUUGUAUAUGAUUCAAGAGCAGAUAUCAAAUUUCUUGGGUGUUAAAUCAUUCAAAAGAAAAUACCCGGGAUUAAAACGUCGUAAUGUCGAAGCUGAAGAACGAACAUUCUUGUGUGACAGUGGAUUGGUCGCUGAAUCAUUAUGUGAUCUUGGUUUAACAGUUCUGUAUAGUUCUGAAGUAUUAGAUAUCAUGUAUACAGAUUUUCCAGAAAAAUAUGAAGAACUGAGGGAAUAUAUGAGACUUAAACAUGCCAAAGAAUUAUCUAAUCGACAAAGAGCAUUGAUGACAAUUAGUUCAAAUAAUGAUGGGUCAAAGUUAGAUUUACGUGACAGAGCUAUGGAAGCUGUUGCCAAUUGGAAUGCCAAUUUAAACAAGUCUCGUCUAGAGUCUCGUAAGUGUUCAAUGGAUAUGCAAACAUUCAUUGUGCAUUAUCCAAAAAACAAAUGUAAGAAAAUGGCCGUACCUAAACCUAAAAUUGGCAGUUAUCCAUUGGCUUUACUACCAGGACAAUUCUGUGAUUACUACGCAACAUACUCUAGUGAAGAUUUACGUUACUUGCCAAUGAACACUGUUAUGUAUGGUCCUUUGAAAUCUGUAGAUAAAGACUUUCCUGUUUCUUUAAGCAGCCAAUCUGAAUCGGAAGAUAGUUCUUCUGACGACUCUAGUGAUAGUGAUGAUUCAAUCGACAAUGACAACAAAUCAGACAAAAAUUGUUUGGAGUAUGGUCCGAGUGAUAAAAAAGGAGCUGAAUGCAAAUUAUGUCUUGGCACUGCAGAUAAGAACAAAAUUGGAUCGGUUGAACCAUUAAUUCAUUGUUCAAAAUGUUUGACGAUUUAUCAUCCUACAUGUUUGGAUAUGACAUUGGAGAUGGUUCCCUACAUAAAGCGUUACAAUUGGCAGUGUAAUGAGUGUAAAUCUUGUGCUCAGUGUAAGGAAGUGGCUGAUGAAGAUAAAAUGUUGUUCUGCGAUCUUUGUGAUAGAGGAUAUCACAUUUAUUGUGUAGGACUUCGUAGAGUACCUGAAGGUCGUUGGCACUGUCAAGAAUGUGCUAUGUGCAGUUCGUGUGGUGUUUCUGAUCCAGGACCAGUUCAAGAAAACUGAAAAAACUGGUUCCAAAGUCUAUUGUCGUACAUUGUGUGCACCGUGUUCCAGAAUGCAUCAGUGAAAGUACAUCAGUUAAUCAAGUUGUUACGUGUACUAUAUGCGAAGAAAAAGCAGUUUCUAGAUUGUUAACUACAGUGCCUAGGUCUUUGAUUAAAGUCUGAAUUAAAUUGCUAGAUAUAGCAUAUUUUCAACACAAUAAAAUCAUUUUUUUUAGCUUUGGACUUUUGAAUGAGUUAAUUAAAAUACAUUUUUUUGCUAUUUAACAUAUGAUUAAAAUCGUAUUGAUUUUAUUUUAAUAUUUUCAUUAAAAUUUGUAUAAAUAGUAUUUUAACAAUUAUAAAUAUAAGAAAAAAACAAUAGCUAAGUUAUUGAUGUAACCCCUUAAUUAAAUUUGGCAGUAAAAUAUUUAUUAUUGAAACUACGCCUAAACAAAUUAAUUAAAUAAGUUUAAUUAAUUUAUGAAUCUUGUUAACAUUGAUUAAUUAGUUAUGAUUAAAGCUAACUGUGUUUGUCAAUUGUUGCCAUAAAUAAAUUUAUAAUAUUAAUUUGGAUGUAUAUAUUAUUGGUAAAUAAAGUACUACAAUUUGUAUUUGAUAAGAAUUAUAUGUAUUUAAGUAUUAUUUAAUUGACACAUUGCACAUAAUAUGUACAGUUCGUACACACAAGAGAAUAAUAGUAAACUAAAUCUUGUCUAAAUUGUUUAGCAGUUGUAUACCUAAGGUAAUAGAUUACAUCAAUUAUUAGUGAAUUAGUAACCAAUUGGAAAUAAUCAAGUUGUGCAUGUGUUCUAUUUAGAAAUUUACAUGAUAACUCUUAUAUGUACUUUUUUUAAAAUUUAUUUUGAUUGCUUAUAGUUUUAGGUAACUACUAACUACUAAUUGAUACAACUUAAUUUAAUAGUUUUUUUUUUUAAAUUUUAUAAAUUAUAUUUGUUGUAUUAUUGUAUAUAAUGUUAAGUCAUUUAUCUUAUUUUACAACUAAAAUUUAAUAGUUGAUAUCAAUUUAUUUAUUAUAUAUUUUUUUUUUAAAUAAAAAUUAUCAAAUCUGACUUA
rnacentral:misc_RNA from 1 species